rnacentral:rRNA from 1 species
AAAAGAAACCAACAGGGAUUGCCUCAGUAACGGCGAGUGAAGCGGCAACAGCUCAAAUUUGAAAUCUGGCUCUUUCAGGGUCCGAGUUGUAAUUUGUAGAAGAUGCUUUGGGUGUGGCUCCGGUCUAAGUUCCUUGGAACAGGACGUCAUAGAGGGUGAGAAUCCCGUACGUGACUGGGUGCCUUCGCUCGUGUAAAGCUCUUUCGACGAGUCGAGUUGUUUGGGAAUGCAGCUCAAAAUGGGUGGUAAAUUUCAUCUAAAGCUAAAUAUUGGCCAGAGACCGAUGGCGCACAAGUAGAGUGAUCGAAAGAUGAAAAGCACUUUGGAAAGAGAGUUAAACAGUACGUGAAAUUGUUGAAAGGGAAGCGCUUGCAACCAGACUUGCGCGCUGCUGAUCAUCCGAGCUUUUGCCCGGUGCACUCGGCAGCGCUCAGGCCAGCAUCGGUUUUGGUGGGCGGAUAAAGGCCUUGGGAAUGUAGCUCUCUUCGGGGAGUGUUAUAGCCCUCGGUGCAAUGCGCCCUACCGGGACCGAGGACCGCGCUUCGGCUAGGAUGCUGGCGUAAUGGUUGUAAGC